GGCGCCGCUUCCUCAUUUCCGAACCCGUGUCCGCACCCCGUGUCCAUCGUCGGCCUGCCUGCUUUCCAAGCUGACCGCCAGGAUUCAAGCGGGCAGUAGGUGGCGUAGCAGUUAUAACCGUUGCUUUUGGAGCCGGAAGUUGCGGGUUCAAUUCCGUUCCCGGGUGCAGUGCCCUUGAUUGAGGUAAUUACCCUGACCUGACAGUAAAAAUGACCCAGCCGUACACACAGGUAAAUCAGCGUAAGUCACUUGGAGCACAAGUGUCAUAAAAACGAAUAAACGUUAGUGCAGUCUGUGGCUCCAAGUGCUGCACCACCUGCUGUCCUAACCCUUACAAAGAAAUUAAUUAUGUUUAUUACUGUUGCACCCUUGAGCAGUUGUGUAUAGGGGCAGAGCCUAAAAUGUCAAGCAUGUAAUUCCCCAUGAGCUGAGUAAAUAGAGUAAAUAUGGUAAUAACGACCCAUCUGAUCGUAACGGGGCCCUUCGGAUAUUUUCCUCCACUCGAGCCAAAUUGCUUCCGUGAAAAUAUCCCGCUGUGAAAAUUUCAGAGGCGCUUAUAAGGUGUAGCUCCACCCCCUGAGGGAUUGUGGGUAACGCGGAGGGGCGCGGCGCAAACCGAGAGCGGUCGGGCGGCUGGCUGCGGUCGAGGCAUCGCACCGCGAAUCGACCGUAGGACGGCGGCGACAGACAUCAUUCCAGAAGCAGCAGAACCAGCGCACAGCGGAUAGAGGUGUUUCGCUACAGUAGAGGGUUCAGGGUUCGAAUCCCACCUCCAGGCUGCGUUAAGCUCUUCUGGGACACUGCUGGACUUGAGCUUGUUACUCACCGAGGGCAGGAACGACAUACAGGGAUCCGUACGAACAAUCAAAACCAUCUGCCAUGUUGUGCUUCUGCUCAUCAGUGAAUCAGAGUCUCAGCUGAGCUGAAGAGUGAGCCCCCCCCCCCACAAAGGAAGCUCUGACCAUUGGAGGACUGACUGGUGAGGAGGAGGCAGUCGGAAGGCCAUGCAGCC
rnacentral:lncRNA from 1 species